GUUCCCGGGCGGGCGCUUCGCUGACUAAGACAGCGGCUGCAGGCAGGCGCAGCCUUCUGGAAAGACGAAGCCAGCAUCAUUUGUCUCUCCUCUGCCGCCUGCAGUGCUACGGCUCCCAUUUUCCUCAUUAGGAAAAUUCCUUUCACCUCAAGGAGCUGAUGUGAGGAGUGAAGGGGAGAAGUAGCCAUGGAGCCCUUUGUCUGGAGCCAAGGAACAGAAAGGGGCGACUGCUGCACCUUGGUGGGGAAAGGAGAGGCUUGCUCAACAACUUCCACCAGGAACCUGGCAGAAGACUGCACGACCUGCUCAACAAAAAUAUGAACGGAAUCAUCUUAUCAAUGCAAAUGAUCGCAGUUUCCGUGUCUUACCGAGUAGACACGGUGACACCCACCUUCUAGGACUGUUUUGAGAAGUAAAUGACAUGGCCGUACCUGGUACGAAGUGCUUUUCUCUGUGUAAUUAGUAAGUACCUUUGUGGAGAUGUGCUGGUGUUAUGUGACACUGUCCCUAGGGAGACACGAACAAGUGUCUACUCACUCCAGAUAGGGAACUGAUAACAGACCUAAGUACAGAUACCACCAAAGUCUAACUUGUGAACCAAUGAGUUUUACUGGGGUUACUAAAAGGAAUGUGGGAGAGGGGUAGUCUACUGGAACAGAAAUGACUCAGACAGCUGCCUCACCAAAGCCCACCCAGCAUGGGUGACAGCUCACAGAAGCUCAAAACCUGGAUUACAGCACACAACCUGUGGAAGUUCAACAGCUUAGAGACGGCCUCUUUUAAACAGCUAAGAUGGUUGGAGGCUCUUACAGGCUGCUCUGUUGAUCUCUUCUUAUUUUGGGGGAGAUGGGGUGAUCAGUUACCCUCUACUUCUUCUAGACUGCUUGGCUGGUCUGAGCCUCUCCUCGGUACCUCGGCUGGUCUGAGAGUAUCUCUAAGCAGUUCUUACUGCUCAUAUGUGCUUGGGAGGGAGGGUCCUAGUGAGACUGGCCAGUUUCAGGGACCUCUUGAAGUCUUUGGUUGUUUUGAGCUUUGAGAAGCUUACUUCAUGAGUUUAAUGAGCUUCCCUGCAUGAUGAAAUGCUCCAUCUCCUCUUAGAAUAUUCUGCAUCUUGACAAGCUCCAUUCCAUGAGGAAUGGUUUUAUCUUGAAGGAAAUGGCUGAAAAUACAAGUAA